GAUGAACGCUGGCGGCGUGCCUAACACAUGCAAGUCGAACGAAGCACCUUACCGGAUUCUUCGGAUGAAGGUCUGGUGACUGAGUGGCGGACGGGUGAGUAACGCGUGGGUAACCUGCCCUGUACAGGGGGAUAACAGCUGGAAACGGCUGCUAAUACCGCAUAAGCGCACGAGGAGACAUCUCCUUGUGUGAAAAACUCCGGUGGUACAGGAUGGGCCCGCGUCUGAUUAGCUGGUUGGCAGGGUAACGGCCUACCAAGGCAACGAUCAGUAGCCGGUCUGAGAGGAUGAACGGCCACAUUGGAACUGAGACACGGUCCAAACUCCUACGGGAGGCAGCAGUGGGGAAUAUUGCACAAUGGGGGAAACCCUGAUGCAGCAACGCCGCGUGAGUGAAGAAGUAUUUCGGUAUGUAAAGCUCUAUCAGCAGGGAAGAUAAUGACGG
rnacentral:rRNA from 1 species